CCUCAUACAGGGGGAUAACAGUUAGAAAUGACUGCUAAUACCGCAUAAGACCACAGCACCGCAUGGUGCAGGGGUAAAAACUCCGGUGGUAUGAGAUGGACCCGCGUCUGAUUAGGUAGUUGGUGGGGUAACGGCCUACCAAGCCGACGAUCAGUAGCCGACCUGAGAGGGUGACCGGCCACAUUGGGACUGAGACACGGCCCAAACUCCUACGGGAGGCAGCAGUGGGGAAUAUUGCACGAAUGGGGGAAACCCUGAUGCAGCGACGCCGCGUGAGCGAUGAAGUAUUUCGGUAUGUAAAAGCUCUAUCAGCAGGGGAAGAAAAUGACGGUACCUGACUAAGAAGCACCGGCUAAAAUACGUGCCAGCAAGCCGCGGUAAUACGUAUGGUGCAAGCGUUAUCCGGAUUUACUGGGUGUAAAAGGGAGCGUAAACGGAGUGGCAAAGUUCUGAUGUGAAAACCCGGGGCUCGAACCCCGGGACUGCAUUGGAAACUGUCAAAUCUAGAGUACCGGAGAGGUAAGCGGAAAUUCCUAGUGUAGCGGUGAAAUGCGUAGAUAUUAGGAGGAAAC
rnacentral:rRNA from 1 species